CGCACACACCGACUGGGCCAGGGAUGGAGCCUGCAACCAAGGUUGAACAAACAUCCACUCAACACUGACAAUGGGACAUUGUAAAUAAAGACGACGGAGGUGACAUUCUACCCCAAAGAGCUUCCAGUCCAGAGGAAGACAAUGAGACAUAGUUGGAGCCUAAUCUAGCUCAUGCAGUCUCACCUACAUGUCCAACUGAAGACUGCAUGUACAAAUGGACAACAAUCAGACCCCUGACAGUAACAGCACUCUAACCCACAACCUCUGCAGCAACUGGCCUGGAAUGGUCAGGAUUUGAUCAAGGACUUCUCUAUUUUUUGCCCCCACUUCCAACACAGGACCAACCACAGAAAGCCAAAUAUGCUCCCCAAACCAAUCACACAAGACUACUAGUUAGCCUGCUCCCAGCUUCCCCACACGGACUUCUGCAAUCCAAGCACACCUGAUGACUUUCCCUUUUUUUCGCUCUAAAGUUUUCCCACUUCCCUGCCUGCCUCUGAGUUGUGCCAAAUGCAAGUAAUGGUGGCUGAUGCCCUUGCUAUAUAGCAAGCUGAUUAAAGAGCAUCAUUUGUUUGUUCUGAU